GAUCGGUGCGUUUACGGAUUCACCGACGUGCUUUGACAUAAAACUUCAAGGGAGUCGUAAUCCUUCGUUAUCAAAAACGUAAACACAUGAAUAGUC
rnacentral:sRNA from 18 species